rnacentral:rRNA from 1 species
AUGGUCACACAAGUGAGGAGUUUUCUUGGCCUCGCUGGAUUCCAUAAGCGUUUUGUGAGAGAUUUCAGCACCAUUGAUGCACCUCUCAAUGAGCUUACAAAUAAGGACGUGCCUUUUGUUUGGGGUACCGCACAGGAAGAAGCCUUCACAGUAUUGAAAAAUAAGUUGACAGAUGCUUCUUUAAUCCAACUUAUUGAUUUUAAUAAGACUUUUGAGCUUGAAUGUGAUGCUAGUGGAAUUGGAUUAGGAGGUGUGUUAUUACAAGAUGGCAAACCUGUUGCAUACUUUUCUGAAAAAUUGAGUGGGCCUAUUUGA